UACGUAGGGGGCUAGCGUUGUCCGGAAUCAUUGGGCGUAAAGCGCGCGUAGGCGGCCCGGUAAGUCCGCUCUGAAAGUCCAGGGCUCAACCCUGGAAAGCGGGUGGAUACUGCCGGGCUAGAAUCCGGAAGAGGCGAGUGGAAUUCCUGGUGUAGCGGUGGAAUGCGCAGAUAUCAGGAGGAACACCGGUGGCGAAGGCGGCAUCCUGGACCGGUAUUGACGCUGAUGCGCGAAAGCGUGGGGAGCAAACGGG
rnacentral:rRNA from 1 species